GACGUAGGGCGCGAGCGUUGUCCGGAUUUAUUGGGCGUAAAGAGCUCGUAGGCGGCUUGUCGCGUCGACUGUGAAAACCCGUGGCUCAACCAUGUGGUCUGCAGUCGAUACGGGCAGGCUAGAAUUCGGUAGGGGAGACUGGAAUUCCUGGUGUAGCGGUGAAAUGCGCAGAUAUCAGGAGGAACACCGGUGGCGAAGGCGGGUCUCUGGGCCGAUAUUGACGCUGAGGAGCGAAAGCGUGGGGAGCGAACCGG
rnacentral:rRNA from 1 species